UACGAAGGGGGCUAGCGUUGCUCGGAAUCACUGGGCGUAAAGGGUGCGUAGGCGGGGCUUUAAGGCAGGGGUGAAAUCCUGGAGCUCAACUCCAGAACUGCCUUUGAUACUGAGGAUCUUGAGUACGGGAGAGGUGAGUGGAACUGCGAGUGUAGAGGUGAAAUUCGUAGAUAUUCGCAAGAACACCAGUGGCGAAGGCGGCUCACUGGCCCGUAACUGACGCUGAGGCACGAAAGCGUGGGGAGCAAACAGG
rnacentral:rRNA from 1 species